GGGGCAUUAGCUCAUCUGGUAGAGCGUCUGGUUCGCAAUCAGAAGGUGGUCGGUUCAAGUCCGAUAUGCUCCA
rnacentral:tRNA from 1 species